CUUGGUCAUUUAGAGGAAGUAAAAGUCGUAACAAGGUUUCCGUAGGUGAACCUGCGGAAGGAUCAUUACUGAAUUGUCAAACGGGUUGUUGCUGGCCCUCAUAGGGGGCAUGUGCACGCUCUGUUUACACAUCCACUCACACCUGUGCACCCUCUGUAGUUCUAUGGCCUGGGGGACCCUGUCUUCCUUCUGUGGUUCUACGUCUUUACACACACACUGUAAUAAAGUUUUAUGGAAUGUACAUCGCGUCUAACGCAAUACAAUACAACUUUCAGCAACGGAUCUCUUGGCUCUCGCAUCGAUGAAGAACGCAGCGAAAUGCGAUAAGUAAUGUGAAUUGCAGAAUUCAGUGAAUCAUCGAAUCUUUGAACGCACCUUGCGCCCCUUGGCUAUUCCGAGGGGCAUGCCUGUUUGAGUAUCAUGAACACCUCAACUCUCAUGGUUUGCCAUGAUGAGUUGGACUCUGGGGGUUUUGCUGGCCUGUGGUCGGCUCCUCUCAAAUUAAUCAGCCUCCCAGUGUUUGGUGGCAUCACGGGUGUGAUAAAUAUCUACGCUCGCUGUUGUCUGCCAGGUAACCUUUGGUCACAAAGGUUUGCUGGAGCUCACAGAUGUCUCUCCUCAGCGAGGACAGCUUUUUUAACGUUCGAUCUCAAAUCAGGUAGGACUACCCGCUGAACUUAAGCAUAUCAAUAAGCGGGAGGA
rnacentral:rRNA from 1 species